CUAGAAAAGGUGUGCGUUGCCUGAGGUCAUCACCCACAGUGUUUUCUCAAUAACCGUUUGCAAUAGGAAAACCCAAUUAGCAAGCUAAUUGGCUAAUUAGCAGGCUAAUUGCCCUAUUAUUAAUAAUCCAUUUACUAAUCUAAUUGACAUUCAUAUUAAGCACAUAAUAUAUUCCAUUUCUAUAUUAAGGAAGCAGGAUUUCAUAAUUGAAAUACAUCGGAGUACAACAUGAUAUAGCUUCAACACUCAGCUACCCCAUUACACGACUGCACCAGCAGCAAGUUUCACAUGCAACAUCUAGAACCUUUCAAAAUUAGAAUCAUAGACGGUACAUAGACAGAUGCAUCUCAUCUGGAAAACUGCUGAAGCGGAAGGCGAAUAUUGAGCCUUCACUCAUGUUGAAGGUCUUUGCAACUUUAGGCCAGUGCCUGUGAAUGAUUGACCGCUCAUCCUUCGACCUCUUCAGGAACACUUCAAUAUUGAACCGUGGGUGUUGUAUGAAAACUUUCCUCGCCUCGUGAUCACAAACUUGGUUUGAGGGGUAAUCAUCAGUGAACCCUGAAACAAGGAUGUGAGUAAAUAUCUUCUCUAUAUUGGAAAUGGAGCAAAUGAAUAAAAAGGCAAGAGGUAUAAUAUUUAGUACCAUCUUGUAAACCUCACUGCUUCCCAUUGUUUCCCUGCAACGCAUAUAAGGUAGUUAGUCAUCAGGUUAAGUAAGUGUUCGCAUGCUAUCAGUAAAAUAUGUUGAUGAUAAAUAAGCACAUUACAGAUUCAUCAGAUUAAUUCAAGCCACAUGGAAAACCCAUUUAUCCAAACCAAGCAUGAUUAAGAACUAGGAAAUAUAGCACUUGUAUAUGUUUUUCAUGUAUUAAGUGCAACCAAAUUCGAUCUAUUCCUCACAUGGUAUACAAUAAUAGAAUGCAGCCACAACAAUUGAACAUCGCAUUGCAGAAUUGAACCAAGCAGUUAACUAAACACCACAACAAAUGAACCAAAUGUUAACUGAGCACCACAUUGCACAAUAUAACAUACUCCUAAUACAAGAUCAGACAGUUAACCAAGCCAAGCAUGCUUAACAACUUGGAAAUAUAGCAACUGUAUUUGUUUCUCAUGUAUUUAGUACAGCCAAAUUUGAUUUAUUUCUCACAUGGUAUACAAUAACAGAAUGCAGCCACAACAAUUGAACAUCGCAUUACAGAAUUGAACCAAGUAGUUAACUAAACACCACAACAAAUGAACCAAACGUUAACUGAGCACCACAUUGCACAAUAUAACAUACUCCUAAUGGAAGAUCAAACAGUUAACCAAACCAAGCAUGCUUAACAACUUGGAAAUAUAGCAAUUGUAUUUGUUUCUCAUGUAUUUAGUCCAACCAAAUUUGAUUUAUUUCUCACAUGGUAUACAAUAACAGAAUGCAGCCACAACAAUUGAACAUCGCAUUGCAGAAUUGAACCAAGCAGUUAACUAAAGACCACAACAAAUGAACCAAACGUUAACUGAGCACUACAUUGCACAAUAUAACAUACUUGUAAUAGAAGAUCAGACAAUUAACCAAACCAAGGAUGCUUAACAACUUGGAAAUAUUGCACCCUAAAGAAUUGAACAUACAUUUGUAGAAUUGAACCAAGCAGUUAACUGAACACCACAUUGCACGACAUAUAGAACAUAUACACUAUAGCAGAAGAUUGCAUGGUAAAAGUAGAUAUCACAAUUCACUAGAAUUUGUUAAGGAAAGACAGUAGCUAGCAAACUGAACAUGGGUCCUUAUAGUGAGCUAAUAAGAUAAGCUACUCCUCAUUGUCGGAGAUAUCGAUGAUGAUUGGCUCCUUGGACAUGGAAGAGGGCGAGGCCUCCGCAUCGUGGGUGCCCUCAUUGUAGUGGUGAGUUGCCUGAGCCGCUCCGCACCAACCUGCUGGCUCUCGAGAUGAGGUAAGCACGUGCACGUUGAGAAAACACCUCGUAGUCUUCGUCGAAGGCACUGACGGUGGCCUCAAGAAAACGCCACAAACUGUCGUUUAAAGCAGCCACCCGCGUCGCGGCGUCAGCGCACGAGGCGUCAACGUUGGCCUCGAUGGUGAGCUUCUCCUCCAAGAUCUGGGGGUCGGCACGAAUGGCAGCCAUCGCGACCUCAUCCACGCGUGCGGCCGCGAUUUGCUUCUCCACUGCCAAAUGCUCCUUGAGAUCCUAGCUAUAUUGUGUGCACCAUGGCUUAGGUCGGAGCUUAUUUGGUGGAGGGGUUGAUGAUUUGGGUGGAAGGUGUCGCACUUGCGCUGACGGUCGGGGCAUGUGGGAUGUGGAAGGAGGAGGCGGAUGGGGGUCGGGUGUGGAUUACCUGCCUAGAUAGGCGAGGCCAAGCAGCGUCAAGGAGGGUCGUCAGUGAGGAGGCGGCGCUGUAAGCAAGGAGUGAAGGUUUCAAUUUGCAAAGGAAGGUGGAAAGGGGGGAAAUGUGGCUUUUGGUAAGGGGGAGGGGGCGGGGAGGUAGAUAUAUCCGUGGAAGCCAAAAAUUUGGAAUCGCUUCAGCCAAAAAACUGGCACGCAAAGUGUCAUCAGACAUGGUCCCUUAUUCAGAACCGUGUACGAUAUGUGAACAUCACAAACGAUUCAGAUAGCUUAACCCGUGUGUGAUGAGUUUGAACGUCAAAAAAUUUUGGUUCGAAUUUCCAUGGUUACAGUGGUCAUCCACAUCAUUGCAUAAUUUGGGUACACAAAGGAGACUACAACACACCCACACUUCUAAACCGAGCAAGUUUAGCAAUUAAACAGAGCUAGCUGACCUAAACAUUACUCUAACUAAUUAAAGACUGGCGCUCUUAAUUAAACAAAACAAAGAGUACUACUACGGCUGGUGCUCAUCGAUCUCCGCUGCCACCUUCAUGCCCAGCUCACGCCCGACGGUCUCCUGGGGAAGGGGCUCCAUGGCAUCAAUCGCACCAUACUCGGCAAGAAUCUCGCCAUCCGCGUCCGCCAUAUCUUUGGAAUAGGCCGCCACAAGCAGGGCAUGGGCGGCCAUGAUCUGGGCUUUGGCGGGCUCCGUCGUGGCAAGGUAUGCCGCGCAGGAACGGAUGGCUACUCGAACUCUCUCGGAGAUUGCCAACUCUUCGGCCGUGGGUUGCCGACCGUUGUCAAAGAAGCUUCCUUCGAUUUGUGCGGUGAGCGCCACAAGCUGGGCGUAGAUGGCGUCGACAUGGUGGUCGGCGGCCUCCAUCAGUGCUAAGGCCACCGCUACGGAACGGACAGCUGCUGUGCCGCUCUCGCCAGUUACUAUCCCCGAGGCAGAUGCUUCUGCCGCCGCUUGAGAAGCAACAGUGGCCGUUUGGGCUGCCUUGGCCGCCCGGACGCAGAUUGCGGUCGCCCUCACAAAGCUUGUUAGCACGCGCCUGGCGGCUGCGGCCGCGCUCUCGCCGGAGUGGGCCGCCAAAGUUGGCCUCACGAUGCGGGUCCACGUCCCCAUCUUUCAUCAGCGACAAUUGAACAGUGAAAUGAUAUUUAGGGAGUGAGCUAGUGUGCUUGACACGCCGGCAGUGGACUGUAGCCGACGCACCUUCUCGCUUAAGCCAUAGGCGUACUAUACGCCGACGGUGCUCCAAGAUAUUUUGUGUUGUGUCUCACACGAUUGGUGAUAAUAAACUAUGCGUAAUCUAUUUGAUUUUUUGUCUUGAUUUGAAUUACGUAGUGGGGUCACGGUUGCAAAGGAUGGUGUUUGAAUUGCUAGAACCUUUAUCUGCAGUGAACAUGCAACUAUAGGUGUGUCAUAAAAAAAUGGAAUUAUUCAGGGUUCGUUUGGAUGUUUUUAUACAUUAACUUGGUUUUGUAGGCAUUUCAGGUGCAUAAUUCAAAUUUGAACUACAUGCACAUGCUUCAGUGCAUAUAAAUUGGUUGAAAAAUCAAAUCUUUGUCCUUUGGUGCAUGCUUAGGUCCCAUGCAAGAAAUGGGAAUGAAUGUCAAACACCCUGCCGGCGUCACUCGGCCGGAAACAUUGAGAUACCUGGUUUUUAGAUUCUACUAAAUCCAAAACUCAUCCAAAAUUCAUGAAACUUGGCAUGCUCUCAUGGAGCGGCAUCAACAUGCCAUGGUAAAUUUUUUGUCCCAUUUGGGGCAGGUUUGGGUAUAUACUUCUCACAAACCACUGCUUCUCACAGCAAGCAUGAUGGUUUCGGUAGGGAACGCCCCACCUUUGGGGACGAAACGAUAUCCAUUGCCUCUUAUUGCUUUCAAAAAAUUUCUCAUGUCAACAUAGAACAACAGGAGUGUUGUGUUAUUUUUUGUGAUUUUUCGGGGUUCGUUUGGACAUUUUUAUGCAUUAAGUGAGUUUCCAAUGCAUUUAUGUGCAUCAUUCAAAUUUGAACUACAUGCACAUGCUCCAGUGCAUAUAAAUUGGUUGAAAAAUUAAAUCUUUGUCCUUGGGUGCAUGCUUAGGUCCCAUGCAAGAAAUGGGAAUGAAUUUCAAACACCCUGCCACCGUCACUUGGCCGCAAACAUUGAGAUACCUGGUAUUUAAAUUCUAGUAAAUCGAAAACUCGUCUGAAAUUCAUCAAACUUGGCAUGCUCUCAUGGAGCGGCAUCAACAUGAUGUGGUAAUUUUUUUGUCCCAUUUGGGGCAGGUUAGGGUAUAUGCUUCUCACAAACCAGAGCUUCUCACAACAAGCAUGAUGGUUUCGACAGGGAACGCCCCACCAUUGGGGACGAAAUGAUCUCCAUUGCCUCUUAUUGCUUUCAAUUUUUUCUCAUGUCAACAUAGAACAACAUGAGUCUUGUGUUAUUUUUUGUGAUUUUUUGGAGUUUGUUUGGACAUUUUUUAUGCAUUAAGUGAGUUUUCAAUGCAUUUAUGUGCAUAAUUCAAAUUUGGACUACAUGCACAUGUUCUAGUGCAUAUAUAUUGGUUGAAAGAAAUCAAAUAUUUGUCCUUGGUUGCAUGCUUAGGUCCAAUGCAAGAAAUGGGAAUGAAUGUCAAACACCCUGCCACCGUCACUCGGCCGCAAACAUUGAGAUACCUGGUAUUUAAAUUCUAGUAAAUCCAAAACUCGUCUGAAAUUCUUAAAACUUGGCAUGCUAUCAUGGAGCAGCAUCAACAUGCCGUGGUAAAUUGUUUGUCCCAUUUGGGGCAAGUUUGGGUAUAAGCUUCUCACAAACCAGAGCUUCUCACAACAAGCAUGAUGGUUUCGAUUGGGAACGUCCCACCUUUGGGGACGAAAUGAUAUCCAUUGCCUCUUAUUGCUUUCAAUUUUUUUUCUCGUGUCAACAUAGAACAACAUGAGUGUUGCGUCAAUUUUUGUGAUUUUUCGGGGUUCGUUUGGACAUUUUUAUGCAUUAAGUGAGUUUUCAAUCCAUUUAUGUGCAUCAUUCAAAUUUGAACUACAUGCACAUGCUCCAGUGCAUAUAAAUUGGUUGAAAAAACAAAUAUGUGUCCUUGGGUGCAUGCUUAGGUCCCAUGCAAGAAAAGGGAAUGAAUUUCAAACACGAGGGCACCGUUGAUUGUCGGCUAAACAUUGAGAUACCUGGUAUUUAAAUUCUAGUAAAUCCAAAAGUCGUCUGAAAUUCAUGAAACUUGGCAUGGUAUCAUGGAGCGGCAUCAACAUGUCGUGGUAAAUUUUUAUACCAUUUGGGGCAGGUUUGGGUAUAAGCUUCUCACAAACCAGAGCUUCUCACAACAAGCAUGAUGGUUUCGAUAGGGAACGUCCCACCUUUGGGGACAAAACGAUAUCCAUUGCCUCUUAUUGCUUUCAAAAAUUUUCUCAUGUCAACAUAGAACAAUAGGAGUGUUGUGUUAUUUUUUUGUGAUUUUUCGGGGUUCGUUUGGACAUUUUUAUGCAUCAUGUGAGUUUUCAAUGCAUUUAUGUGCAUAAUUCAAAUUUGAACUACAUGCACAUGCUCUAGUGCAUAUAAAUUGGUUGAAAAAUCAAAUCUUUGUCCUUGGGUGCAUGCUUAGGUCCCAUGCAAGAAAUGGGAAUGAAUGUCAAACACCCUGCCACCGUCACUCGGCCGCAAACAUUGAGAUACCUGGUUUUUAAAUUAUAGUAAAUCCAAAACUCGUCUGAAAUUCAUGAAACUUGGCAUGCUAUCAUGGAGUGGCACCCGACAUGUUGUGGUAUUUUUCGUGUCCAUUUUGAGAGAAGGCGCACUCGAAUAACAGCCAACAAAGGCAUUUUGAAAAAAUAGCUGCCACUUUAAUAUCUCAAACGUUUGUAUAAUUCAAACCGUGUGCGUUAUGUUAACCAUUACCGUGACACCACAUGUCUUGGUUUUAAUGGCUCUUGAUCGCAAACGUUUUAGAUAGAACACCUGUAUGCAAAGUGAGAGCAGGAUUUGUGCAUCUCUUGAACACAAACGGUUCUUUUGGAUAACCGACGUGAACCACUUACAAACAAUUUGGUAAGAUUUGCAACUAAAAUUUAGUAAUUAAGCAUAGAUGGAGGCGAGGAGGCAUGUUCAGCCAGGCGUGUAGCAGGGGCCGUAGUACUAUUCGAUUUGACAGCGGGCGACGCAGUUCCCGAUAUGGCUUUAAUGCAGACGAGGGAGAGGGUAGCGGUUCCCGAAAUGUUGAACGACCAAUGAUGCAUCCUCCUUCGAUUAGCAUCGUGUGAAUGCAUGAGGGAAUUAAUGGGAGGAGGACCGGGAAAAGAGGCAGCACGAUGUGAAUGCAACGCAGUUUGCACUCAUAUAAAGGCGCCCCUCCAUUCCAAUGCAUCUACCACAUCGUACGCACCUAAGCACCUACACUAAUAAGCGCAAAAGUGCUCACUCCAGACCUAUGGCGGUGAUGCACGCGAGCAGCCAGCGACUGUGCCAGAUGGUCCAUGAUGCCGGCAUGUGACAUGGCACCGUGGAUCGUCUCCACACGGUGUUGGCGACCGGCUGGUGGAUGGCCACCGUCGAUGCCAGCUACGACUCUCAAUACGACCAGAUGAUCGUUCGCACCACCAACAGGUUCAUCACCGUCAAGAAGCUCGCGGUCGACAUCGCCGUACUCCUCCAGCCCGAGCGCCCGGGCUCCUCAUUGCCUGCCACCCUAAUCGGCCUCCAUGGCCGGAACCUCUUGCAAGCACUGGUGGCCCUGCGACUGCCUGCCGACGCCACAAAGAAUGUCCACCUGGAGGUCGCGCUCGCCGUGAGGCGCCUCACCCUGCAAGAAACCGUUGACCUACACAUCCAUGUGUAUGAUUGAAUCGUGUACAUAGGUAUCUACAAGGCCAGUGAGGACGCUACGAUGUUGGCCUUCUUCAACUGGCUGGAAGCCUUGGAGGCCAUUGCUGAGAAGCACCUUGACCUCGCCACAAAAGCCACUGCUCCUUAGCCGCUGGUCGGUGGCCCGGCGCACUGAGUUGAGGAGGAGGAGGUCGUACGUUGAUGGAUGCAUCUUUCUUCUUGCCUCCUGUAACCACCACUGCGAUCACAUCAUCAUGGCUUUAAUUCUUAUUGUGUUAUUGCAUUCUCAUUCUAGUCAAUACAGACAUGUGCGAUCCCUUUGCUUAAUUAUGUGCAUCACUGUAACUUUACAUUUUUUGUUUUUUGUACACAUGUUGAUUGGCUUGAAGAAGGUCUAUCUCGUUACUUUUUGAUAAUUUUUGUUUUUUGAACACAUGUUGAUUGGCUUGAAUGAAGGUCUAUCCCGUUACUUUACGACAUGUUUCCAAAACAUUAACCUCUGUGUAUUUGUUCUCGAAUUACCGGGCCUUUUUGCCGCAUAUCACACACAUCUUGUUAAGUUGAACUGUUUAUGUUCUCUCCCCCAAUCGAAAACAUUUCAGUCGACUGAACCGUAUGCCGUAUAUCACACACAACUUGAUCUGGCUGACCGUUUCUGUUGCUUUCCCUAAUAGCAAACAGUUCAUCAGAGCGAACUGUAUGGCGUAUAUCGUACAUGCAUUGAUAUGGCUACCCGUUUCUGUUGUUCUGUCUAAUCACAAUCAGUUCGUCUGGAUCAACCGUAUGCCCUGCUUCGCACACGGAACUAAAAUCUGAACCUUGUUUGAUGCAUCCAGCAUCGCAAACAUUUUGCACCUUUUUUGACGGUUUUUUACACCACCAUUUGCGAUCAUGGCAUCGCACACAGUUUCGUCGAAGGGUCUCUGAUUGUAGUGUCGCAUUAGCAGCAUCCUGCAGUAGUGGUGCCACCUGGAAGGUUAACUCUUCGGACCUAUAGUUCUCGGGCGUGCCGAAUACCACAUCAAGUUUGAUUUCUCCCAAACAUCGUGCUUCUCGACUGGGGAUAAUACCUCUAAGGGUUGUACUGCUCUGCUGGAUGCGGCUCCUGUCCAUUUGCAUUUUGUCGAGCGUGUCCUCAUAGAUGAGGUUCAAUCCGCCGCCCCCAUCCAUGAGCACUUUAGUGAGCCAAAAGCCAUCCACAAUUGGGUUUAGAACUAAAGCGGCUGGUGCUCAGACUGAUCGGGCCCGUGGUUCGCCAGUGGCGUUGAAAGUUAUCGCCAUGUCGUUCCAAGGGUUUAUUGCAGCUACUUGGUUAACUUCGGCGAGGUCGUGGAGCUCCCUUUUACGCUGAUUAUUUGAAGAAAAGGUCUUGAAGACCGUAAGUACAUUGAGAUUGUUAUUCUCCGAGGAGUACUUUGCUGGGGUAGUGUUGGUGAGGAUGGCCUCACCGCUUUUAGCCACAUGCCGGAGUAUCCAACAUGCCCGAAGGCUAUGUGUUGGUUCCGAAUUCGGCAUCGUGUGUAUCUGACAAGGCUUGUCGAGCCAUUCAUCAAGGACAGUUCUAUGUCCUGUUAAGGGCUUAAUUUUCUUGUCCGUGGAGCGAUGAUCAGGUGCCCCGCGAGGGUGCAUCCUUUUUGCCUGGCCGGUGGGUGGCUUAAAGGCCGAUGGUUCCCACCGAGCUGUCUGGGCUUUCCAGUCGUUUUCCAUUGCGCAAUACUUUUGUACUAUGUGUGCCAAAUCUGCAAAGUGCAGUAUGCGGCAUCGGUUGAGGGCAUUGAGGAUCCCCUCGUUCGUACAGUUGCGACAAAGUACUGAUACCGCAUCGUCGUCACAGCAAUCUUUAAUCUUGUUUUUAACGAGUAGGAAUCUAGCCCAAAAGUGAUGUAUUGUUUCCUGAGGUUGCUGCCGUAUAUACAUUAAGUCGCAUAUGUCAGGGGGGCCGGAAUUGCUUGGAGAGUAUUGAUUGUGGUGGGCGGGUGGGUUUAAAUAUGAACCCUGACCCACUGAGGAAUCCGGAUUUUGCAAAAUUUCUGAGGUCACUAGCCCAGGAUCCGGAGUGUCCUGGGGUUUUUUAGGCUCAGCGCCUGAUUCUAUGUUCGGAGGACAGAUGGUCUCUUCUCGAAGAUGGGUGUCCGGCUCGCAGGGCUCGGUGAUCCAAACAUAGUUUGUUUUCAGCAUAGGAGGAGCGGUAUCCUCAACUUGCUCUUCCAUGACGGUCACCAGGUGGGUGACAGGUGGGGACCUGAUUUCCCUCUGAUCGGGUUUAAGCCCAAUCAGAUCAUAAUCUGUUGUGACCCCUAGGGCGGUGAUGCGAUCUAGCAGUUCGUUUAAAGACGAGAUAUCUGCCGGAUCCAUCUUAUCGACGCUUUUCGGGGUUGAUGCAGAGAUGGUUUUUGGCAAUCUGGGGGACCGCUUUGGGCUUGACGGCCGGGCGGGCGCCCAUGGUGAAACUGCCGAUCUGGAGGAUCUGCCCAGGAACUAGGGCCCUUCCAGAGUUGAUCUUGUCGUUGACGACAAGGCGAGCCAUCGAUCCUUCUAUCGACAACACGGAGGAACUCUCAAUGAAAGCACCAAUGUCGGUGUCAAAACCGACCGAUCUCGGGUAGGGGGUCCCGAACUGUGCGUCUAAGGAUCAAAGGUAACAGGAGGCGGGGGGACAUGAUGUUUUACCCAGGCUCGGGCCCUCUUAAUGGAGGUAAUACCCUACUUCCUGCUUGAUUGACUUUGAUGAGUAUAAGGGUUACAAGAGUUGAUCUACCUCGAGAUCGCAAUGGCUAAACUCUAGAUGUCUAGCCUGUAUGAUUGUCCUUUUCUCUACGGACUAAACCCUCCAUUUUAUAUAGACACCGGAGAGGCCCAAGGUUGUACAAAGUCGGUUUAUAGAGAAAGGAAACUAUACGACUAGCCGCCAAGCUUGCUAUCCACGCCAAGGAGAGCCCCAUCCAGACAUAGAGAGUGGCCUUCUAUCUUGUACCUUCACGGCCCAUUAGUCCGGCCCAUCGAGGACCCCUUAAUUCAGGACUCCCUCAGUCGUGCCGCCCAUGGAGGUUGUGCCGACCACGCCUGAGGAGGUGGACAUGGAUGAGGACGUUGCGCCGGAGGAGCCCCUAGCGGCAAGCACCGUAACUACGACCACUACAACAAGGAGGAAGGUCCAACCCACUUCUGCAAGGUGAUCCUUGCCCCUCAAUUUGAGUGCAUCCCGAUGCCUCUAGACUUCACCAAACACUUCCCGGCGGUGUCGCAAGAGUUCAAGCCGAGGACCAACACCAGCUGCUCGUGGAGGGUGACUAUCCGGCUGAUGGACGGCAGGGUAACCCUUGAUCAGGGUUGGGCCCCCUUGGCCGCCGUCCAUCAGAUCAGGAUCGGCUAAAUGGCGACGUUCAAACUGCUCACUCCCGAGACGCUCAAGGUCAUCGUCUUCAACGACGAAGGCAUUGAAGUGGUGACCAAGUGCGGCAAGAAUGACGACGCCUUUGCCGUCAACGUUUAGGACUGCCCUUCCUAUGCUCUAGCUGGUUUAGUUUCUUAGUGUACCACUUUGAGUUUAAACCGAUACGUUUAAGUGUGACACUUUAUUUAAACUGCGGCCAUGGUUUACAACUAUCUUUUGUUGUGUAUGUAUGAUUUUUCUUCACGCCGCUGUGUGCUGGUAAUGUCACCACCUCGCCGAAGAGAUUACCAGACAACAUCUGUUGAACGAUAACCAAACAAUAUACAAGUGUCAAAAUUUUUGACUAUUUUUCUCAUCCAGGCUCCAUUGAGCCAGGGUUAAGCUAGCCAUGCCGGUCACAAGGCUACCAAACACUCCUUUGCGUUCUGGAACAUUCUGCUCGCCUCCAAAUAACCCACACCCAAUUUCAAAAAUAAAUAAAUAACCCACACCCAAGGGCGGGGAGUCUGCCCAUCACUUCCCUGCGUCCAGAUUCCGGAAGCACCCUUCCGUCGCCUCUUCCAUCGUCCGAUUGCUCCGUGGUGCCCGGCUCGGCGAGAAGCCUCUGCCUAGGUGCGUACGGCCGCUCAGCUCAACCGCCUCUAUCCGCAGUCUUCGAUUUCCUCUUUCGCCCCUCGCUUUGGUUGGAUCGUCGGCUGCCUGCUGCGAUUUUAGCCCGGAUGGUUGCGUUUAGGUCGGGAAUUUUGGUCGAAUUGGGAAUAUAGGAUUCCAACAAGAUGACAUGCCGCUCCAAUCCCACGUUUUUCAAAGUUGUGGUAGUACUAAUUUGUAAGUCUAGUUUUCUACAGCUUCGGUAUAGAUCACAAUGGAAGUAUUGGGGUAGCAAUACCAGUGGGAGUUCUGCCCCCUUUUGGUUGUGCGGAUAGUCAAUGGAGCCUCCAAUUCUUUCCUCUGUUUCUGACUGAACCUCGGAAAUUAGGAGUAGUAUACAGGAUGACAGCAAUCGGGUUCAAGAUUGACCCCAUGGUGUUAACAGGAUGCAUUGAGUUUAUCUCCAUCGCUAAUUUUCUAUCUUCCCUUCCCGCUGAUAACACACCACUCAAACGAAGUAGCCAGCCCGGCCAGCCCAUCUCUAUUUUUCAGUUGCCAAACGAAACCAAGCCGCCGGCCCGUAUGUCUAUUUUGUGGUUGCCACCCCAUAUCAAGAGGAUGGUUGCUCGGUCGAGAAAAGGAUGAACGGCCUAUGGCACCUCCGACCGCUGGCUUCUCUCCAGCCGUGUUCGAAUCUGCGUAGACGGGCAUGCACCGGCAAGAUGCCUUGGCACUGAACAUGCACGGUGUAUUCCUGGCAGCGCCAAUGGUGGGACAGAGCAGGAUGGGCAUGACUUUAAUUUCCGUCUCGUCCGCAGCGACGCACAUGGCGCUGGCUAUGGUGACACGGACGAGUAGACGAAGCCAAGACAGACGUGCAUCCGACGCGGCGGCAGAGCUGCAGGCCGCGUGGGCAUAGCGGUGGUUGUGAUGCUGACGUGCAGCCGGCGCGGCUGCAUUGCACGAGCUGUAGAGAGGGCAGCGACAGUGGUUGUGCAUGUGUAGUGAGCUAUGGCCGACGGCGGCGCGACAACACAAAGAAGCAACGGUCCACUGGGCAAGGUCCGGUCCACCGAGUCAUAGUUGCACCAGACCACGUGAACCUUGAGUUAGCAGGAAUGCCAUUGAGAUCGAGUGAGCUUGUUGAACUGGAAGAAGAAGGAACAAUUAAGGAAUCACUGUCAUAAUCCAUGCACGUAAACUAUGGGCAUGGCAAUCAGCUGGAUCCAUGCAUUGCUGAACAUGUGCAUACACAAACUGCACAUAUCGAGAAUCAUACUAGCAAACUUGUAAGACACCUGAGAGGUACUCGAUCAAGUUCCCUGAUCAUUACGUGCAUUAAAACGUAUGGCUGACAUGCACUUUUGAGCCUUCUUCUUUUGGGGGGUAACUUUUUCUUGGGGUAACAAAUUUGAGCUAAGACUUCAAGUUGCUUUGUGUUUCUUGGUAGUGCCACGCCUAAUUAUGAGCAUGGUCAUUUUCUUUUGAAUAUAUUCACAGACUAAUUACUCACACCAGUAAUCAUCUCUGUAAAAUUGAAGUCUAUGAGGAGCAAAUAUAUCUAUCUCACAACAUUACUUGAAGCCAACAUAUGUCUUUAUUUUGAUUCAGGCGGAUUUGGAGUUAGCAGUGCACUAGGUAAACACUCGAGUACGACACAAACAAUGAAAUUUAUUUUAUACCCGUUGCAAGGCACGAGUUGCUUAUAGGUGGAACUAAUUAACAUGUUUAUUUGCUAGAGGUAGGCUCUAAAGCUAGAAGGACGCUAAGCUUGGAGAUAUCGACGCCAAGGCUUGCACUCACUGUAUGGAAACUUUUAAAGAGCAAUUGCAUACAAUGCGGGAUGGUGCAUGCGUCAAGUAAAGAUGAGAUAAAGAUGACACCCACCAUCAACAUAAUUCAAAAGUCCACAAAAUUAUAAGUCGGUGCAGGGAGGCGUUCACGAAGGGGCGUUCCAGAGCAUAAUGACCUAGCUCAUUGCCUUCGGAUUGGAUACUUUCAUCGUGAAUAAGUUGAAAACGUGAUUAUCAUUGGAGACGAUAGUGAAGAGGAGAAGUGGGAAUGCAAAAGGGUCGCCGCUAGGCACAUGACAAGAUUUGCUUCUCCCGUUGCAACGCACAGGCACAUUUCCUAGAAUAAUUAAAAGAAAGGAUCUAGGCCUUAAUGUGUUGGAGCUAUUAAAUUAGAAAAGGAAGGAUUUGAUUCCCGACUAAAACCGGUGAAGACUUCAUGGUAAUUAAUGAAAGAAUCAUACUUAAAUGCCAUUAAACAAGGAUUGUAUUUAAAUGAAAUCAGUGGGACAUUACGCCCCGCAAAGAAAAUAUGAACAUGACUAAAUUGCGUCGUAUUUUUUUAUGUUCAUUUUAUAGAAGGACGAUGCUGCGUUGCAACAUGUUCCUUUAUAAUGAAUCCGAUGCUGUGGGAUAUUAUGCUUAUGCAAAACAUCAAUUUUUUUUGUUGGAACGCACAGGCAUAUGUGCUAGUGAAUGGAAAAUCAAAGAAACAGGUUGAGGGUCCCACCUGCAGGGUCAGAAACUCUGCCGUAGUCCUCGUCCAUCCACUAUUAUAAUCGCGCAGACGAGACGACGACAGGCGUCGUACCAUUCAGCCCAGUCUCCGAUGCACUCCCCGCUUUGACCAUCCUAAUCACGCCGUAAAGCGGUAAAAUCCCCCACCUGAUUCAAAACGGCGCCGCCUAAACCCCUCCUAACCCCCCGUGGUUAAACUCCGUGGCCGAGAGAGGCCAAAAAGUGUUCGGCGACGCGCCGUGUCAGUUCAAGCCCCAAACUCGCCGCCUCCGCUAAACCUCCCCUCCCCUCCCCUCACGAGGCGAGAGAGUGACGACGCUCACGAGGAGGGGCAGCAGCAGAGUCAGAACCAGCAGGCGGCGCAGCCCCUGCAGCAGACGGCGGUCGAAUCGCGGGGGAGAGGUCGCCGGCGUGAGGGAGGUCCGCCCCGGCGACGCCGCGCAGCCGUUUUCUCUCCGCGGUCCCGUCGAUCUCGUUUUUCAGCCCCCGCUGCUCUCCACCGGCCGAUCCCGCGAGCCCAGGCUGCAGAUCGUUCCAUUCCGCGAGGUAUUUCCGGGCGACGACGCUGAUCCGCUAGGGUUCUUCUAGCGAGGCGCUCCUGUCCUGUCCCUUUCGUUUUAUUCUCCGGUCCUGUCGGUCCUUUAACGCUCUUGGCGAUUCUCGUGCUGCUUGCAGGGGAGGCGAAAGGGAGCGCGGCCUUUGGACCGGGGGAAAGGCGAAGGGGAGGGAGAAUCUUCGGGUUUCGGCUUUAGGAGCUCCCGGCUCAUGGAUUUCUUCAAGCUCAAGAAGUUCGGCAAGGCCCGGAAGGGCUCCAGGCGUGAGGGAGAGGCCUUGGAGUGCGACGAGGACGCCAACGGAGGGAAUGUGGCUUCGGAGGGCGACAUCUUCGAGGAGAACCCUGAGGCGGCCGCAGGGGCUGGUGUGGCCAAUGGGGGAGGGGCUGGUGUGGCCAACGGAGGAGAGGAGGUUGGGGAGGAAGAGGAGGAUGAGGACGAUGAUUUCAUCACCAACGAGGUGAAGCGGAGGCUCAAGGAGAUGAGGAAGAACACCUUCAUGGUGCUCAUCCCGGAGGAGGAGAAUGCUGAGGUGGAGGAGGAUGAGGACGGGGAGGAGGAAGAGGAAGGGAGUAGCUCUAGGGAGUGGAUGGAGUCCGACGUCGGUGAAGGGUUCCCGCUAUGUGGCUUCGACUCGCUCUAUGAAAAGUACUCUCAGAGAAUGGUGGCGUUUGAUAAGACGAUUACACAGGUCUUUAAGGAUUCAGGUGAAAAAUUUAGCACAUUGUAAUUUCUUGUAUGGGUGCUUAGAUUUGUUGCGUGUUGACUUGAAUGCCACAUUGCCACGCAAUGUGUUUUACUUUGUUGCUGCUAUCUGACUGGCCAUAUUAGUUUCGAAGCAACACUUCAGUCUUCAUUUGCUACAUAAUGACACCAUUUUAUCUACCUAGAAGUGCACAUCAUCGGUUUUGUUUUUUGGUUUAUGAUAGAUUCUAAAAAUCUACAUGGUGAAAAAUAUAGCACAUUGUAGUCUUUUGUAUGGUUGCUUAUAGUUUUUGCAUGUUGAGUUGAAUGCCACAGAAUGUGUUUUACUUUUCUGCUAUCUGGUCUGCCAUAUUAGUCUCAAAGCAACGUUUCAGUUAUCGCUCUAUUUUUGCCACACAACUGCGUUAUUUAGCCCAUACGGAAGUNNNNNNNNNNNNNNNNNNNNNNNNNNNNNNNNNNNNNNNNNNNNNNNNNNNNNNNNNNNNNNNNNNNNNNNNNNNNNNNNNNNNNNNNNNNNNNNNNNNNNNNNNNNNNNNNNNNNNNNNNNNNNNNNNNNNNNNNNNNNNNNNNNNNNNNNNNNNNNNNNNNNNNNNNNNNNNNNNNNNNNNNNNNNNNNNNNNNNNNNNNNNNNNNNNNNNNNNNNNNNNNNNNNNNNNNNNNNNNNNNNNNNNNNNNNNNNNNAGAUGCUAUAAAUCUACAUGUGACUGAGCAUUAUAUGAGCUGUGAUGAUCAGCCACGAAUAGAUUCUUGUGCUAGCUGACGGUUAUCAUUUGGUAUGUUGUCAUCUUCGACAGAUCUAUUGUUUGAGCAAUUUCAUGAUUUUCACUUUUUGGUGCUGAGUGUGUGCCUCCAUAAAACUUUUGUCGUCUUUCUCCACUCCAAGAAUUUGUCGCGUACUCAUAAGUAACUCUUUCAAACGUCGCUAAAGCGCAUACCGUUUCUUUUCUGCAUGUGUUGCUGCUUAUCAGAUUGUUAGUUGGGACUUGAGGAUGACACCUCCCCUUUCUUGCGUAAUACGCUUCUCUUAUGUGUGUAUAAAAUCCUAUGAAAUUAGCUGAUUUGUUUACUACUCUCUAGAGGGCAGAUAAUCUAUAAACCACACCUUUCAACUUUCAAAUGGUUGAUAACAAACUUCUCAGGGUCACUCAACAUCUCAAAAAGGUGAACCACACCUUUCAACUUUCAAAUGGUUGAUAACAAACUUCUCAGGGUCACUCAGCAUCUCAACAAGGUUGCCUAAGUCAGCAUCCAAAUUGGCAUCUGCUAUCUGCACUCUAUGUGAAAGAGCAGAUAGAAUUGACAUCUUCUAUCCUUAGAAUCCCACACAAUGUGUUCUAUUUUGUUGGGACGUGGCGUUUUGGCUCAUAGGUGCAUAUACACCUACUAUGAAAUAUAUGUAAAAUAGACAUUUCAAAAUGCAAAAAAAAUUCGAGGAAAAACCCCGUGUGUACAUCUAGACAUUACAUGUGCGUGCACAAAGUUUCGGUGAAAAAAUACAUUUUUUGUGGCAUGAACCAAAAAAAAAUGCCUCGUGAAUAGCUGUAAUCAAGCAUAAAAAAUUGUCUUUCUUACACAAGCCACAAAAAAUGUCCUUUUUCACCGAAACUUUGUGCAGGCACAUAUAAUGUCCGGAUUUACACGCGGGGAUUUUUCCUCGUAAUUUUUUAACUUUUCAAAAUGUGUAUUUGGACAAUGGGUGCAUAUACACCUAUGAGCCAAAGCCAAUUUCCGAUUUUGUUGCUGCUAUCUGGGUGGCCUCAUUAGUCUUAAACUACCAUGUCAGUUAUCGACUUCAUUUUUUACAUAACUACAUUAAUUAGCCCAUCCAGAAGUGCGCCCCAUCUAUUUUUUGUUGGUUUAUGAAAGAUUCUGAAAAUCUACAUGGUGACUGAGCAUCUUACGAGCUUUGAUGGUCAACCAUAUGUAGAUUCUUAUGCUAGCCGGCGGUUAUCAUUUGGUAUGACAGUAGUUGUCAUCUCCAACAGUUCUAUUGUUUGAGCAAUUUCAUGGUUUUCACCUUUUGGUGCCGAGUGUAGGUUGCCUCCAUUAAACUUUUGUUGUCUUUCUCCUUGUACUUAAAAAAGCAUGUUGUGUACUCAUAACUCUUUGGAAUGUCACUAAAGCGUGUACUAUUUCUUAUCUGCAUGUGUUGCUGCUUAUGUGAUUGUUAUUUGGGACUUGAGGGUUGCACCUCCUCUUUCUUGUGUAAUAUGCUUCUCUUAUGUACGUGUGAAAUCUUAUCAAAUAAGACAAUUUGUUUGCUAUUCUGUAAGUGCAGAUAAUCCACAAACCGUUCCUUUCAACUUUCUAAUGGUUGAUAAACAAAUUUCCCAGGGUCAUUCAACAUCUCAAAAAAGUCGCCUAGAUCAGCAUCAAAAUUGGCAUCAACCUUGCGCAGUCUAUCAUUCAAAAGGAGGGAUGAGCUUCAGGAGGACUGUGAGAAUCUUCAGCAGCAGCAGAGCGAGGAUGACCCUUACCAAAUACUCGAGACUGCUUAUGUUGCACAGGUUUCUUUAAGCUGGGAGGCUAUUCAUUGUACUUACAUGCACCUGAGUCUGAUACUGGCAGCACAGCCGGAGAACCCCACCACCUAUAGCUGUGCUGCUCAAGCAUUUCAGCAGUUCCAGGUUCUGUUGCAGAGAUUUGUUGAGAAUGAACCAUUUGAGCAAGGUUCACGUUUUGAGAUAUAUGCACGUUCUCGGAGCUCCUUGUCGAAAUUGCUUCAGGUUCCCACUUUUCAAGGUAUGACACUUGGAUUAUAGUUAUUACAUUUUUAACGCAAAUGUAUCCUAUCAUUUGACAAUGAAAUUCACUACUGAUGCUAGUGCAAUCAACUCUUGAGUCCUUGUGGCAACUUAUUUGGUUUGUUAUUUAAUCUAUUUGCAUUGCCACAUUGCAACUUGUUGUAAUAGCUGUCAUUUUUUGCUUGGUCAAGAAUCAGUGUCUUAUUCUGAGUUCUGAUGGAUCACACAGUGACAACCAACAAACCACACUUAGCCUUCUGAGUUCUGAUAUAUGUAGUGGGGAGUGACAGGCUCUAACAGUCGUAAAUACACAUCAUGAUCGACUGUGUGCAUUACAUAAUUGUUUGCCAUUGGAAUACAUCACAAGACAUAAGUACAUUGCACUAGAAGUACUACUGCCUAUGUUUACUUGACACAAGGCCUAAACCGUCCAUGAGGCAGGGACCGUGUGACGAAACUAGAGGACUGGGAUCUGGAUCGGGGGUGGGUAUGAUUGAGGAUUCCUUAUUGCAGGGGUGGAUGUCGCCAUAGAUACGUCCAAAACCAUCGGGAUUUGGACUUACAGGGUUUGUGCUGCACACGGAACUUCCAAUAUGGGACAACACUAAUAUCCUUCGAGCCUUCCUUUUCUCAGCCGUCCUCCAAGAUCUAACGCUGCAGGGGCGAUCAAAACUAGCUUCCACUUAAAUGCCAAAGUUGACAAUCUAUAAUUUUUAAUAUCUGCCCACAAUCUCGAUUCGAUGGCUCUAGUUGCGCCACGUUACCCUCUCCCCUCGUUGCACUUUGUUAGCUCAGUUUGUUUUGUCUCUUUCAAAUCUACUUGUAAGGUCCCCUGCCUACCAGCUUUGCAGACUCAUCCAAUCUCCAUACUGGGUCCAGCUUGUUUCAUGCUGACUUUGUGCGUGUUUUGGAGCCACCGAAUGGUCCAUGUGAAUCUCAUAAGGCCAUCGACGGAACUCCUGUGAGCUCUGGACUGAGAAAAGAGUGAGGUCGUCCAUUUCACUUCCACCGAGGAGUUUGAUAGCUACCCUGAGGGCGUGGGAAUGAAUAGCAUUGAAGUUACUAUAUAUAGUAUGUUGUGACAUCCUGACAAUUUUACUUGUUUGCUGUAUUGGUUUUUAUUUUGUCAUGUACCUGAAAGAUGAACUCUGUUUUUACAGAUACAUAUAUCAAAUUGUUUUUUUCUUUGUCCAACUUAUCCUGACAAUUUUACUUGUUUGCUGUAUUGGUUUUUAUUUUGUCAUGUACCUGAAAGAUGAACUCUGUUUUUACAGAUACAUAUAUCAAAUUGUUUUUUUCUUUGUCCAACUUAUUACUCCCUCUGUAAGUACUCCCUACAUUAGUAAGUACUCCCUCCGUCCCAUAAUGUAGGACGUUUUUUGACACUAGGGAGUACAUUCUAUCUGAUUAUGUAGACUGGUAUUGCCCUUUCGUACAUGAACGUGGUACUAAGAUGUAACAGAAAGAUGUAUUUUGAAAAUACCGGCAGUGAAUUCACAAUGGUUUGUGGAUACAUUGGGUAUAUGAGUAAGUAAACUAAGACGGAGAACAGCUAAGAUGUCCAAUAUGAUCUAACACUGUUCUGAUGUGCAUUUGUUGGUAUAGUCGGUACUAGAGUAACAGCUUGGAUGUUUCAGUGAAUAGGUCAUAUCUUAAAUGUCACUUACGGUGAAAGCAUGCCUAAUAGUUUCGGUUUCAAAUGCCACUUAUUUUCAAAUAAGAAGGUGCAUAUGGCAUUGUUUUUAAGGCAUCCCGCUUUGGACGCUUAGGCAGCACCUUAGAAUUUUAACCACCUUAGGCGGUUAGGCAUCAAGGCUGUGAGUGCUUGCCUUGGGACACCUUACCACCAUAAGAACAUUGGUAUAUGGAAUUGUUUCCUAGCACUUCCUCUAGCCCAAAUCGAUGCAGUUUCGGGUUUUGUUCAGUCAAAUUUUGGCUCCCAAUAUCUGUUCAACUGUUUAGUUUGGAUACAUGAAUAACAUACACCGUCAUUUGGUAUUGUUUGCGACAGGCGUAAAUUUGGUCUUGAGAAGUAACUCUAAAAUUUUGCUUGUUAUAAAUAUAAUACAGUGGAAUUACUGGUCAAAGAUCACUUUGGGAGCCAUGUUGAUAUCCAGGAAGUUGUAUCUGAAAAAAUGGCGUGAUAAAGCUCAUGCUUGUACGAGACAAUAUGGAUAGUGAGAUAAUUCUCAUAUUGUUGUGAGGCUGCAUGAUUCCUACUGUUGAUAAUUGCUAUGUGUAUGCUGUUCUAUACAUGGAAAUAUGUCCCCCAUAAGUACAAGUUAAUUUGCAACAACUUCAGUUAUUCUUACUUCCCCUACAGGCUUAAUCAUGGUGGAAAUUGUUAAGCUUUACUAUGUUGUAGGGGAAUGGUUGGUAGAUCUCAGACAUCUUGUUUAUACUUAUACACACAUGGAUUGUAUUUGUCAUAUCAGAUGAGAUCAUACUGGGUCCCUUUGCAGGUUAUUUUGAGUGUGGUUCUCUUUGGCUAGUACUAGGUGAAUAGGACAGUAAGUAGAUUAUCAUUGAAUGGCGUACACAUAAUGCACAUGCUACAAGCCAAUUAAAUCUUCUGUACACUGUGGCACCAUUAAUGGUUGAUAAUGUACGGUUGGUGAAUCUGGGUUUUUUUCUGUUUCGCAUUCAUCUGUGGCCAGUCAGUUUUGUAACAUCAUUCAAUAACUUGGACGAUGGCAACACUUGAACCCUAAGAGCCACAUGUUGCCUACUUUUAAGAUCCAUACAUAUGCUCAGCAUAUGACUAAGUGGCCAAGAGAAGUUUAGGAGCUGUACCUGCAAAUUUAAGAUUUGUCAGUUGGCAUGCCCAUGAACUUCCUCAUUGAUUGCAUAUAAAUUCCAAGAAUUUUGUCAGUCUGGACUGGUUGCAGGACUUGGUUAAAAGUUCUAUUAACUAGAUGCUGCAGCUAAUGUGUUAGUUGAAACAAAGUAUUUUACUUCCAUAUAAUGCUUUUGCUAAAUGAGCGAUGGAUUCUUACUGAUGUGAUGUGCUUAUGUGCAAAGUGUGUAAAAUCCCAUAGCAAAAUCCUUUGAUCUGAUUUUAAUUUGAUCAUCCAGUAAGGCAAGUCCUGAGUGCAAUACUCUUAAUGUUUCUAUUUUUGCUGCAUCGUAGUUUUGUUUCCUUGAUAUGGAGAAGUAAGCUUUUGUCUGUUAUGUUGUACUUAUAUUUUAGAGCUAUUUUUUCUAUCUUUGCAUCCUGCCUGUCACAGAGUACCCUUCUACCACUGCUUGUAUAACAUACUUUUGGCAUCUUUUUGUAUACUUGCUGUUAUACGCAUUUUGAUAUGUCAUAUCGCUUUUCGUUCCUUUUUUGCCUAUUCAGUUGCAGACGGGAAAGAUAAUGCUGAAGACCAAACGGAACCAAUCUUGGCACCUGACCUCAUGAAAUUAUUAGAGGAGUGUAUCUUAACUUUUCGUGUUUUCCUGAAGAAGGACAAGAAAAAGAGCAGUGUCCUCAUGGGUGUUCAUGGCCAUACUGGAAGUUCCAUUCAGCAAGUCCAGUCCUCUCUGGAUAAGGUUAGACUUAAUACUCUCGUCAAAAAACAGUUCUGUUUAUCACCGGGUAUUUUUUCAGUUCCUUGUCGCUACGUUCCAUUGCAUUGGUUAAAUAUGAUCUCUUUGUUCAAUGAUAAUACUAUUAAAAUCCACCUAUUAGUAGAAUGCAUAUUUCCUAACGCACCUGUGACGUUCAUCGAAUAUGGAACGAACUUUUGAAGCAUACUUUUAUGGAUAUGGUGUGCGGUUGCAGCGUUCACGUGAUACUAUUUGCAUUGCUAAUGCAUAUAUCUCCAAACCCGCAGAAGGAGAUGAAGGUGAAAGAGCUGUUCAAGAAGAAAAAGGGUUGGAAGAGCAAGACCUGGCCGACCACAAUGGAGGAAGUCCAGCUGCUGUUUGCCCUGACAGACAUCAAAGUGGUGUCGAGGGUCCUGAGAAUGGCAAAACUGAGCAAGGAGCAGCUACUGUGGUGCGAGGAGAAGAUGAGCAAGCUGGACCUCUCCGACAACAAGCUGCGGCGGGAUGGAUGCCCUAUCCUCUUCCCCUGCUGACGCAUUCUCUUUGGCAGUGUUCGUUCGUUUGGCCCCUCUGCAGAGCAAGCGAGCAUAGCUGCUUCCUGAGCUGAUAUAUGUACAUCUUAGGCUGGAAUGUUUAUACUAAAGUCAAGUGUAGUACCCUACCUAAAAGGAGAUUGGUGUUCCAAUCCAGUUCUGUUGCUCUGCAUUAGUUUGGGGUUUUUAUGCAGCAUGGCAACAGCGUAUGGUAACCAGCUGGUAAAUUCAGAAAUAAACAUCUGGUAAAUUCUGAACACCGUUGCAAACUGUGAAUGGAAAAAAAAAAUCAGCUGGAUAUGCAGGUAUUGGCACAUGAAGAAGGCUUGUCUCAUGUUGGGGCUUGGGACCAGAGCUGUGCUGGACCCCCGCAAGCCAGUUUCUCAGCUGAAUGGUGGGCCUCCUUUGCAAGUGAAGCUUAAAAUGUGGCGCAUCAUCACAGCCAGAACCAGCAUCAGCCAAAGCUCAUGAACGCAUCAAAUGGCUACCACCAAAUUCCUGCUGCCUCGGCCUUCAAUGGUGGGGGUCAUCAAUGCGGUUGUGUGUGUGCCUGCACUGCAUGCAUGCAGUGUAAGCAAACUGAUCCUUCACUGUGCCCUGCGAUUCAUGUGCCAUAAAACUUCACUGUGCAGAUUCACAUCUCUCUCUCUCUCCCUCCCUCCAUGGACCACUUUGACAUUGACACUGUCACACUAGCAUUACUCUUUACCUGCCGAUCCCAUUUGGAAACUUUGUUGAGACUUUCCUCGAGAGCCGAAUCUGACGGCGAUGGCAUCUUCCAACUGUAACCUUGAUGGAAUUCCUCGGUGUAAUGCAGGGCUUGCCAUGUACUCCCACCGUACCAACUGGAUGCAACAGGUCAUGUGAUGAAGGCAGGAGUAGCUAUUCUUCAGUGCUGAGUGCUGACUGACAGAAAGAGCAGAGACACUUUACUAGUUCGAUCCUUUCUUAUACUACUAGUUGCUCUACAGUUUUCACCGGGAACAGAGCGGACACGGUUUCUAUUUUUACCCAGAGGGAUUUAAUAAAACGGCCGUUUUGGUAGGUAACAUGGAUGAGAAAAAAAAGAUUGAACCAAAUGCAGGACAUGGACCGGAGAAGUACAGAUGAACUCAUUUGGAUCUUAGCUCUUGUAGCCAUGCCGUGAGCAGCCGUACUUGAAGCCUUGGACUUCCUGGCAUCACUGGCAGUGAGUGACUUGUGCGUGCACCAGUCAGUCCAGCUUGCAGUCCAACUAGGCCAGUACUACACAUACAGUGUGCAACAGUACACGCAGUAUAACAUGAGCAGCAGAUCUACUCGCCGGAGGCACAGUGUCAUCAUAAACCCGUGCAGGUGCAAGCCCUGGUUUUACUGAUGGGAGGAGUAGAAAAUAGUUUACUGUCAGCUUUUCUCUUCUGCAGGGUUUUCUUGAUCAUUUACACCAGCCCCAGCCCAUCUUACAAAAAUUGCAUGCCCAGUACAACUGCACUGGUAAAUCGCAUUUUCAACGCAAAAAGGCGCUGUUAGAGAAAAAAGCGAGCCCGAUCCAAUGGAUGACAAAUUGACCGGCGGGCCGAGGCUACAGCAUGGACGCAUGUGUGUUGAUUGGACACUGCACUGCUGGGUGGAGUUUAGUAGUACUCGUAGGAGUACUGGUUGCUCUCGCAGCCGCAGAUAAUUCCAGUCUUUCUUUUCCUCUUUUUUUAUAUUUCACUGUGAUGGAUGGUCCACAUGGUAUUGAUGGAAAGAGCAAGUUAAGAUUCUUGCUGUGUCCUCAGGGCUGGGCAUUUGAUUAAGGGUAAGUUCUGCCCCUGUGCCGUGGAUCUAGCGGCAGUAAAUCGAUUAAUUAACUAGUAGGGAGGACACAUUUGGCCAUGUUUCUGGCAAUCAUGUCUUCUUGUUCUCAUGAUCCACGAGACUUUGGGGAAAGCGUGCGGUGGCUUGUUGUGCUUGUCAUUUCUCAGGUUCUACUCUAAGCUGACUACAAUGCUGACCGGCUGGAGUGACCUAGCCAAGUCCUGGUGUGAGAUGAAGAACUGUUAUAUUCCCUUGUUCGUUCUCUUUUCUUUUCAAGCAAGAGAUGGGCACAACCAGAUUAAAAAUAAAAAGUUCUUACCAUGCCAGGCAAAGACCUUAUUUGUCUGGGUUUUCUUUUUUGAAGAGUUAUUUGUCUGGUUUAGCAUGCACAUUUUGUGGCAUUUCCAUGUAUAGCGUCUCUUCAAUUAAUAGCCACCUAAAAUUUCAACUUCAGAGUUAUUAGACGGGCAAUUCUGAAAGACUAUAUUUGUUUUGAUUUCUGCAUUCCCAAUUUGCGCUUGGAUGAUCUAUGUAUCACUAUCCGAGGACGCAUAGCCAUUCAUCUGCAUGCACAGUUCCGUAAUGAUCAUGGGAGAUAAUAAUAACUGAUCGAAAAGGCUGCCUUUCAGUGAGAAAACCCGGGUGAAAAGGGGGGCCAUCUUUCAGCCAGCAGCAUUUCUAUCUUGCCAAGUUUCCUUUUGGGAAAAGGAUUAUAGUAAAAGACAAAUAAGGAUCACAGUUCGUUUGUCGACCUAUGGGCAGAGGCAUGGGUUUUGGUCGAACGGGCAGGCACCAAUCUAAAAGCAUACUAGGGCAAGAUAAAGGUUCAGAAGGAGCAAGGACAUGCGGAGGAAUCUUUCACCUCUUUUGCUUUUCUUCGUUGCUCUUCCGAGACAGGCAUGCAGAUGCAUGCUAACAAACCGUGUUUUAUCUUUUUUGAAAAUUCCCAUGCACGCUCUUCUCCAUCCCCGUCCAUACGAUGGAAGAGACUUUCCGAGCCGCUUUGGGGGUGAAAAAAGAGAGGAAAUAUUCUUCUUUUGCAGAAGAAAUAUCAUGUGUCGUGUCAUGGCGCAAACGUCCCGGCUGAGAAAACAAGCUUCGUUUUUAACCAUGAGCGCACGUACGGAGCCUUCUUGUCGUCGUCGUCGCCGUCGCCGGGUUCGGCCUCCACCUGACACUGAUAGGCUGAUGCCGUGUACGUGGAGAGGACGGCGCGGCGUCCAUACCGUGGUAUUUUUUCUUACUUUCUGUGCUAGUGUUCACAAAUAUACGUAAGAUGUUUCAACUUUCUAUGAAUCAGAUGUAUAUAGACAUGUUAUAAUGUGCUUGUUUACUCAUUUUGAUCUGUAUCCAAGCCUUGGCAAGGGCUCAAUUUUUUUUUUUUGCGAGGGCAAGGGCUCAACUUGAUCGUGGACAAAAAGGUGGAUCAAGCUUUUGGGAGUCUAGUUAAAUGAAAGAUUGGAUCGGGAGACACAACCUUGUUUUGGAAAGACCGGUGGUUACAUGGCGCAACAAUCACUGAUAUUACCCCCUUGGUUGUGGCGAUGGUUCCGACUGGUGCGUGAUGCUAUGGGCAUGCAUGCUUGGAUGAACGAGGUAGUGGGUAACCCAGUUCAUUGGACUUUGGGAGAUCAUUUCGGAGGUUCAAUUGGAUGAAUAGUUGGAGGAUCGCCCCAUCUGGGCUUGGAACGCGUCAGGAGUUUACACAACAUCAUCAGCCUACACGAUGCUAUGCGAGGGAGGAGUGAGAUUUUGCUCUUUCGGAGUCAUAUGGAAAUGUUGGGCUCCACUUGCGUGCAAGAUCUUCAUGUAGCUGGCAGUGCAAUACCGACUGUGGACGUCGGCUAGAAGGACGAGACAUGGUUUGCAAGACCAAACAUCAAAAUGCUACUUAUGUGACCAGGAGGAGGACACGGUUGACCACAUAUUGCAGCAGUGUGUGUUCUCGCGGCAAGUGUGGCACCGUUGCAUUGCUAGGAUGGGUUUGAGGAUUGAGCUUUGCCCUGCAAAUGACUCACGGUUGGUGCAAUGAUGGACGGAAGCUAGGAAACGAAUACACACGCAAACUCAGAAAGGAUUUGACACAUUCGUGAUGCUAAUCUGCUGAACACUAUGAAAACAGAGGAACACGAGGGUGUUCGAAUCGGGCCAGAUCAAGAAUGAGUGGGAUACGGUGGACAUGAUCUUCGACGAUUUGAGGACUUGGGCCACGACAGGAGCGUUUGGAGGACAACUAGUAUCAGAGUAGUCGAGUAGCGUGAGGGAGUGGGGUGGAGGCUUGGUUAUGGUCGACUUGUGACACCUAACUAGCGAAAUUGUAAUCUCUUGUACAUAUUAUUCUCUUUUCUAUAAAGCUAAGGGCCUGUUCUGAUCUCCUCCAACUUCACAAAUCCAGCUUCCCUAGCCAGCUUCACGCUUCAUCUGGCGAUUCCCGAACGUUCUGCGUCGUGUGCAGCUUCUCCCAUCGCUGCAGUCCAGCUGGGAGGUUGUGGGCCUAUUGGGCGCUAUUGGGCCGGUUGGAGGCAGCCCAGUAUGGGCUAGGCAUCGAGGGAAGCCGCCCCUGUACCGAUUCGAUGGAGAGCGAGAGGAGCGUUAUGUUUCGUGCGAGCGUACCGGUUCGCUGGCUUGGACUUGGCGGUGGCACUUCGGUUGUAAUACUGGCCAGCUCCAGCUUUUCCCAUCGGUGGAGCUGGGCCGACGCUGCUCCAGGAUUUUGCACUGCCAUCGGGCAAAACUUCGAGAAGCCAGCUUCUCGUAGCAAAACUGUUCAGGACAAAUUCAUAUGUGAAGUUUGUGAAGUGUGGAGCUGAAGGACUUCAGAACAGACCCUAAGGUACGCCAUUGGCGUACCCUUAAUUUUUUUGAUUUGUAUGUAGUUCAUAUCGAAAUAUUCAAAGCGUCUUAUGUUUGGGAAUGAAGGGAGUAGUUGGACGGAUGCACCGUGGAAGAUAAGAGAAGCGAAGCUUGUAGUAGAUGGGAGAAGGACGAACACAUGGACGGUGAGAUUAUUAUUCCUUUUAUAUGCUAUUAAGAUAUACUAGUGCAAGCCACACCACUUAGUGCAUGGGCAUAAACGAACCUUCGUCUGAAAUUGAGUAAGCCACAAAAGAAAGAUAGGGCAUCUAUUCUGUUCUCUUGGGUGAGUCUUGCUUUUCCUCCAUAAUUUUUAUUUUUUUCCAAGGCCAAAAUUGCGUGUGGGGUUCACACCUUACGCAUGCAUAUGCAUGCAUGGCUGCCAGGAGCCACGUGCAGUGCUACUACAUUAGUUACUCCGUUUUUCUAAUCUGUAUCUAAAAUUUGGUCAAAGUCAGACUUUGCUAACUUUAAUUAAAUUUAUGAAGAAAAAUAUCAAGAUUCGCAAUAUGAUAUCACUAUUAUUAGAUGCAUCAUGAAAUUAAUUUUUAUAUCAUUUAGCUUUAGUAUUAUAGAUGUUGAUAUUUUUUUUAUAAAGUUAGUCAAACUUUACAUAAUUUGACUUUGACCUAAUAUUAUAUGAAGACUAAAAAGAAACGCUGGGAGUUUGUGGGUAUUCUUUUAAUUUAUUUUUUUAUGAUGAUCAGGCCGGUUUCUUUGGUUUACACUUGGAAGUGUUUGUUAGAGCCUCCGAGGGCGUUUGUGGGUUUUUUUUCUAUUUUUCUUUUAUGAUUUGGGUUUUGUUUUGGUGGUACAGCUACAAUUGAAUCGCCGCCUAGUAGCUAGCGAACGUGAGAAGCGUGAGGCGUGCAGAGCGGCAUGCAUGCAUGAACCGACCUGAUCACCAUAAUACUUAAGCGAGAAGCUUCGUUUGUUUGGCAUGGAACUCUUUGAUCCGCAGGAAUUUAUUUUAAUUAAUUUGCAUGAAGGAUCCAAUUUUGAGGGGGCUUUCGUGCUGGAAAUGCCGUGCAUGUCGCAGCUGGCCUCUUUGUUUUUACCAAGAACCUUUUCAUUGCGAUUAAAAACCCGGACCCAUAACACCAAAUCUCCUACUACUAAUGCAAUGAAUUGAAGCCUGGAGAUCGCAGGGCAUCCGGAUACCCACUCCCUCACAAGGAUCCAAAAACCAUCGUCAUGGUCAUACUUCAGUUUCUAGUUGCGUAGCGCCACAAGUGCUGUCGCAUUGCAUACCUCCAAACGCCAUGAAUUUUCGCACUCGUCACAAGUUCUUAGUAAAAAAAAGCACCCCCAGCCCCCGCCCUCGUCUCUCUGUAAUAACAAGAAUGUAAAAAUUCUCGUGUGAGAAAAGACAGUUCUCCGAGCCGGAAGUUUCCUCAAGUGCACAAACAAACCUACUACUGAGAGCCCAAUUUUUUCCAUAAAAUGGCAGAGAGUAAAUGGGCAGUAGGGCUAAAAAAAGAGGAAAAUGAAUGAGUAGGGCAUUAUUGGGAAAUAACAGCAAGCGUAGGGUCAUACCCCCCAAUUCAUCCGUCCGCCCCCGCUUUUCUCUCUCCUCCUCCUUCGGUGACCUCCCCUCCUUUGCAGUCUUUUGACCGUUGUUGCCCCUCCCCUCCCCUCCCUUCUCUCUCUCUUCCCCCUCUGCCACUGCCACUGCCACUGCCACCCACACUCCUCUCCGCCCUCUCUCUCUCUCUCUCUCCCCACAAAUCUUUCUUCGACCCCUUGUUCUUGUACACACCCACCCAAGGGGUUUGAGGUGGUCGUAGAGAAGAAGGUCCUCCUUCAAUCCCAGGUAUAGACCUCCCUCACCUCACCUGAUCCUAUUUUUAAUCUCUUCUUGUGUAGGUUCGCAUUGCCUUGCCCCUCCUUUUGUCCCCACCUCCCCUUUUGUUUUGUUUAAUGUUGGCCAUUGAUGCGGUUGGGUGAGAGGUUUCCUGGGCCAAAGUAGAGAGAGAAAGUGCUGCGUGUGUGCUUGAGAGAGAGAGAGAUGUUCUUCAUCCAUAGAGAGAGAAUUUCGUGAUUCCCCUCUUUGAGCGCUCCAAGAACAUGUACGUAUCUAUCUAGUAGUAUGCCCCUGGUUUCUUCUUCUCUCUCUCUCUCUCUCUCUCUUUCUCUCUCCCAGCAGUCUCCUCUGCAUCGCUCUCUGUUUUUCCCUGUCUUUGCUUCACCCACACUUCAGAAUGAUGUGUUCCUGUACUGUGCACCUGAUCUUUUUCCAUACGAUUUUUAUUUUGCCUGCUGUUUAAUGUGGCUAGCCGAGAAUUCAGCAGCCGUUUCUUGUUGAUUAUUGCUGCCACAGCUGUGGUGCUCUCUUCUUUUUUUACUGCGACAGUUGUGAUGCUCUCUUCUUUUUUACCCGAGAUUUCAUCGUCUCCACCUUCCCCCUCGCGCAUCAUCAGAUACCGUGUUCUAGUUUCUUUCGGUUCUGUAGCGGAUAACGGAGGUAGUCUAAUGCACUUCCUUGUUCCCGGUAUCUGCUCCAUGAUUUUUAUCUAUAUUUUUGCAUUUCCCCUUCAAUUCUCCUUGCUUCAUCUGGUUCUGAAAAUUUCAGAGCGAGGAUUGCCUUUCCUGCAAGCGUUGUGUUUUUUUGGUUCGGCUCCGUAAUUUCUCCAUCUGUUCCGUGCCUUGGUUAAGCAAGAUGCAACGCAACGAGCACUGAUGCGCCUCUGGUUUGUCCUGUCCAGCAAAUAUCUUAAUUUUUCCAUUCCCUUCCGUGGUUCCACUCGCAGGUUGGCAAGAGCAAUUGAACUAGUACUCUUUUCCCUUGUGGGCAGUUUACCAAGAGACAAGUGUUAUUAUUACCCAUCAUCAUCUUCAGAGCUUUCUUGUAAUCUUCUUCUUGUUACAGCAUUUUUCUUUACCUUUUGCCCAACCGCUUAAGCACCGGAAAAUCAGUCCACCAUGGAGAUGUGGGAAUUUAGUCCAUCCGGGCCAACACUUCUGUUUGCCUACUGACCCCUCAUUUCACCUUCAAGAUAUCUUUGCAUUGUGUUUUUCUGGCUGCUUGUGAUUCGUGGACGGUACAAGAUCGUUGUUUGUGCUAAUUUCACUGCGGAAAAACAAAUGCUGUUUUGAAUUCCAAUGUUUCAUUAGUUUUACCCAGCACCGUCCUGGCUCUGUUAUCUUCAAUGCACUGAACUGAAUUCAGUAUAGAUAUCGAGUCAGCUUACCGUAGCCAUGAUUAUGCAAGUAGGCAGUAGGACCGAUCAUGUCUUGCUGGGCCAAGGUUACAUUCCUAACUUUCUUGCUUUCUUAGCCCUCGUUUAGGAGGAAGGAAUGUCGCUGCUAGCUAACCGAAAAAUGUGUAGGGUAUGUUUUGUCAGUGGGGUAUUUCGUUUCCAAAGGGACAUCUUUCUAUGGUGUUGUAGCUCUCACUGUCUUUUGAGAAGAGCAUUUUUUGGGUCUUGUGAGAAGUAGUUGCAUUUCAUGUUAGAUCCCAGUAGUCAAUCCCAACACUCCUGAUAGCCUGUUGCUGGUGAAUAACCUAUGCCUGAGUUCCCUUUUGACACACAAUUUGAUUGCUUCUGAAAUGUCUGGAAUUUGCUCCUGAAAUGUCUGAAAUUUGCCUGAUUGUAGGUUGUUCAUUGGCUUCAGAUGCAAUGCACAGGUUGACAACAACUGAGCACUCUACAGUAUCAGGUAAUUUCUGCACUUACACAUGAUGCCUGGUUUACUGAAGCUGAAACUUACCUGCCGCUUUCCUUUUUUUGUUUUUUCACAUGUAAAGGCUCAGAAGUUCUUCCCGGGGCAUGACAUAUUCCUGACAACACAAGACUCUGGAGACAUGGGAUGUGCUGCUUCCAGAUUGGAAGAUGAGGAGGCUGUUAAGAUGUGCCGGGACAGGAGGGACUUCAUCAAGCAGGCACUGGAGCAGCGAAACCGUUUUGCGUCCUCUCACAUCGCCUACAUCGAGUCCAUGAAAUGUGUUUCGAUGGCCCUACAGAGGUUCGUCGCUGGAGAUGAUCGGCACGAGCUCAUUUUUGACCCAUUCAUCUCUCCUGUCAAGCAACAGAAGCCAGAGAUGCUCGGCCUUCCUUAUGGUUCGUAUGAGAAGAGGACUGUUCAUGUCGCCAAGUACUUGAUGUCAGGACCAAACCCAUCAGUGUCAGUUGAAGAGGCUCCACGGCCCGUGGAAACAAUCCGUGUUGAGUCACAUUACCCUGUGGAUAGCUAUGGUGGCACAGAUAGAUCCUUCCCGGCGACUUCCUCACCGAUGAGGCCAUCUUCUCACUAUACACCUUAUGACAGGCCAAGCUAUGUACCUCCAUUACCCCAGGAACCAGUGAGGAAUGCUUAUUACAUGCCACCUUAUGAGAGGCCAAACUACGCACCUCCAUCAUCCCAGGAGCCAGUGAGGAAUUCUUCUUAUUACAUGCCACCUUAUGACAGGCCAAACUACGUACCUUCAUCACCCCAGGAUCCAGUGAAGAAUUCUUCUUAUUACAUGCCACCUUAUGCUCCACCACCCCAGGAGCCAGUGAGGAAUUCUUAUUACAUGCCACCUUAUGAGAGGCCAAACUACGUACCUCCAUCACCCCAGCAGCCAGUGAGGAAUUCCUCUUAUUACACGCCACCUUAUGACAGGCAAAGCUAUCCACCUGCUCCACCCCAGGAUCCAAGGAGGACAUCUUAUUACGCAUCUCAUGACAGGCCAAACUACCCACCCUCAUCACCCCAGGAACCAGAAUCAUCACCGUGGGACUCCUUCUGGAAUCCAUUCUCGCCGCUGGACAGCUAUCCGUACCCGCGCCCUCGGAGUAGCUAUGACAAUGUGGUCACUGACGAUGAAUUGGCACGGUUACAGCAGGUAAGAGAGGAGGAAGGAAUCCCAGAACUCGAAGAGGAAGAUGAUGAAUGUCAAAAACAUGAACAAAUGCACAACAAAGAGGGGGAGGGGGAGGGGGAGGGGGAGGAGGAUGAUGAAGAAGAAGAAUCUGAUGAGGAUGAUGAUGAAGAAGAAGAAUCUGAUGAAUGUGAGCAUUCAGAUGACCAAAGAUGUAUGGCUUCUAACGAGGCUCGCCCAGGAAAAUCUGAAGUCAAUGUCAAGCAAGAACAAAAGGGACAUCAAUCCAAAGGUGUUCAAUGCGCAGGCUCAUCCGAGCCCCGAAAUGCAGUAGACCAUGAGAUCAAGGCACAUAAGAAAGAACUAAGGAGGAACAAAGUAGCAAAUGCAGAAGAAACCCCAGGUUUCACUGUGUAUCUGAACCGAAGGCCAACGAGUUUGGUCGAGGCUAUGAAAGAUAUUGACAGUCAGUUCUUGGGGAUCUGUGGCGCUGCUCAGGAAGUCUCACGGAUGUUGGAGGCAAGUCGAGCUCAAUACCCAACCUCAAAUGAUCUCUCUGGUACCACUUUUAUAAACCAAUACCGAAGUUAUUAUUUAAAAUGUUUCAGAUUUCAGUCGCUGAACUUCCUCAUGAUUUUUUUAAUGCAGUAAAGAUGCUAAACCCAGUCGCACUUUUGCGAUCUGCAUCAAUUCGAUCAUCAUCUUCCCGCUUCCUUCUUGCUUCCUCUGGCUCAAUAGAUGAUCUUUUUGACAAUGAUACAAACAGCUGUUACUCUGAAGAAUCUUGCAGCACAAUGUCUGGAAGUCAUCACUCCACUCUGGAUAGACUGUAUACAUGGGAGAAGAAAUUAUACAAAGAAGUGAAGGUACGAUCUUUGUCACCGUCACGAACCUAUACCAACAGAUCAGUAGAACCGACUAGCGGAAGUCAUGCCUUUGUCACUUGUAGGUGGGUGAGCGAUUAAGACUUGAGUAUGAGAAGAGGAUGGCACAUUUGCGGAGCCAGGAUGUGAAAGGGGAGGAGCCUUCUUCUGUCGAUAAGACUCGUUCAGCGUUGAGAAGCUUACAAACUCGGAUGAAGGUGUCAAUACAAACUGUUCAGUCAAUAUCAAGAAGAAUUGAAGUUCUAAGAGACGAGGAGUUGCACCCUCAACUUAUGGAGCUUAUCCAAGGGUAUGCUUUUGCUCACCAUUGUGAAGUUAGUACAAUUUUUAUAAGCCAACAUUUCAUAAAUAAUAUGUUAAUUGGUCAAACAAUGGGCAUAGUCCAAUCAAGCAAGAGUAGAUGAUGGCCAGCCAGGCAGCCACGACUUAAAAAUGUCAUGGUUCCUAUACUUGGAAUUUACUGAUGAUAUGAUAUCGCUACAAUUUUCAGCAAAGGGUGAAUAGCUGUUGGGUUAUUGAUCAUAGUAGGCAUGCUGAUGUAGGAAUGCACGUGAAUUUAAGGGAUCUUGCCUGAUCGUAGCCUUUGAUAGUAACAGAGCUAUUCUUGCAUUGUGCAGACUGUCGCGGAUGUGGCGAGCCAUGGCUGAACGCCACGAGGCUCAGAAGCGGACCAUCGACGACGCCAAGCUUCUCUUCCUCCAACACCGCGCAUCGGCGGCGACCACCAUGGCUCUCGGUCCUCCAGAGGCGACGACACCGCCUCCUGCCGCCAUCGCCCUCGAGUGCGAGGUGCGAGCCUGGCGUGGAGCCCUGGACGCCUGGCUGUUGGCGCAGCGCGCGUACGCGCGCGCCCUGGCCGCCUGGGCACGACGCUGCCUUGGCAUUGGCGCGGGCGCCGCUGCGCCGGGCACCGUGCCCCCGGCGUUCCUGGUGUGCAUGGAGUGGGGGCUCGCCGUCGAAGCGGCGUCGGAGGCGCGGGUGAUGGACGGGCUGGACUUCUUCGUGGCCGGCGUCGGGUCGGUGUGCUCGGGAGCUGCCGCGGGCAUGGAGGGCAUGGCGGGGCGCGUGCUCUGCGCCGGCUUGGGCGCCGUCACAGGCGCCAUGGCCGAGUUCGCCGCGGCAUCGGCUGACGGGUACGACGCCGCGGUGUCGGCGGCGGUGGCCGCGCGCGCGCCGGAGGGCGGGGAGGAGGAAAACGCGGGAGGACCGCCGCAACAGUAGGAAAUUCCGCAAAACCGUGGAUAAAUUGUUUUUUUUUUGGAGUUGGAACCGUGGUGUUACAUGUAGCUAGGAAGUUGAAGCAUGCAGUCACAUGUGUAAUUUUGUAGCUAAAAAUGCAAUUGCAUGGCUGAUUAUUGGGAGGGAUGGUUCCCCCAGUUUAUACUAGCAGCAGUAGCAGUGUUACCUUAUCCCUGGUGUUUUUCGUCGUACUGAAGUCUGAAUGGUUUUUGGUAUUCUGAUGAUUUCUUUUCUACUGUAUAAGCGCCACGUUAAGCAGUUUAGAGCAUUUUAGAUUAGUUUAGAGCAUCCGCGGAGGUUGCGUGAACGGUUAGGAGAGGCAAAAAUUGAAGAGGUGAGGCUAGACCUAAGUCAACUCAACUCAGAUUUAACCAAGUCUCAACCAAGUCUCAGUCAAGUGACAAAAAAUAUAAAAAGAUAUUUCUUUUUGCAUGGAUCUUCACGCAAGAUCUCGAAAUAUAGUAUCGACUGAGAUUUAACAAUUUUGAUAUUAAAAUCGCAUGAUUGUAAGUUCAACCCCCGUGGCAGAGGUGAUGAACAUGGCUAGCCCCCUAGUAUCUUAGGUUUCUCAUGUGUUGUGGCGACCCUGCAGGAAUCCACUAUAGCCAAUCUAGGGAAGGACAUCCCGCCCUCUCCUACGCCGGAGUAGUGCCCUAGAAUUAGAAAUUCUUCGCACAUGGUGAAUGUGCGUCACCUGGGCCACAUCUCUAUCGACAACGUCGAAUUCAAGGGUAGCGGGAUGGCAGAAGCCUCGACAAAGAACAUAGGACCUAACCCAACAACAAAGAUGAUGCUCUUCUCCAAAGGAUGGAGAUCACAGAAGAGUAAGGAGAGGUGGUGGAUCUCUCGGGACUGGUUGGGACGCCCACAUGGGAGAUGCUUUGGGCGAUGAUUCUUAGGGUUUGUGUUUGAACUCCCUUCAGCCAUACGAUGCUCUUCAUCGCCAUGCAAGUUGCCUGGGGUUGCUCAAAGGAGGUCAAAUUUAGGCCCUUCGAUGACUACACAUUCAUAACUUAGUUUCUAUGCUUUGGAAGUGGAAUAUUGCAAUGCAUGAGGACCGUGGUUGUUCAGUCAUCAGCCGACAGGGUUUAGUUCAAUUCAAAUGAAACAUAUGCAUUUAUCCUAUGAGGGGGCUUAGGCAAGGGGGGUCCCCUACCGACUUCCAUGUUCUUGAUUUUGUGCUAAGGGUUUAUUUAGUUUUCUAGCACAUGAGUAGGAGAUCGGCGGUGUCCAAGGGCUUAGGGUGUGCCGUAGUGCACCAUCAAUUUCAUGCUUGUUAUUUUCUUAUGACUACCUAAUCUUGAUGAGAGCGGAUGCGUUGAAUGCCAUGACACUCCCGAAUGCUCUAGAUAUGUAUCAUGGAAGCUUUGGGCAGUUGGUCCGCAAUGCAAAGACCAUUUUUUUUCCAGCCCUAAUACGACCAUGGAGGUAUGUGAUGAGGUAUGUGCAUAGCUUAACAUUGUUUUAGAGGCAUUGACUGAUAAGUAUUUGGGAUUACCACCAUUUGAUCGUAGUGGUUGCUUCCAACAUCUUUUUGAUAGACUUUGUGCACUUACCAAUGGUUGGCUAUCAAAGAUGUUAUCUCUUUGUGUAGGGGGGGGGAGAUGUUAUCUAUUAGUUGGAAAGAGAUACUUCUGAAGGUAGUUGCAUAGGCAAUCCCAGUCUAUGAUAUGUCUGUUUUUAAUAUCUCAAAGUAUAUAUGUAAGGUCGUCUGUGAUGCUAUUGCUAGAUUCUGGUGGCAUGGCACUUCAAGGUAAACGAAAAUUGCAUUGGAAGGUGCGAUGGAAAAUGUGUGUUCCAAAAAAUGAAGGUGGCAUGGGGUUUGAAGACUUACAUUGUUUCAAAAAAGCAAUGAAAACAGUGUUGGAGAUUAUUGUCUGAACCAUAAUCACCAUGUUCUCAGGUCCUUCAAGCCAAGUUUAUCUAGAUUAGGACUUAUGUAAGGCUAUGUUGAAGAACGAAUCAUCAUAUACAUGGCAGAGCAUUCUAUUUGGUUUGAAAACUCUUAAACACGGAGCUAUAUGGCGACCUAGAGAUGGUGCAAUGAUUAAUUUUUUGAAGGACGAUGAAUCCCGAUGAGCCAUGAUCACACCAUAAUUACUCAUGGGGACAGUGUUUGUUAUAGAUAGUUCAUGACUUAAUUGAUCCAAUUUUAGGGAACUAGGAUGUGCAAAUGAUCGAGGAUAAUUUUGGCCACUUGACGUUGUGAGAAUUCUUCAAAUCCCUCUACCUUCACAUGAUCAAUCAAACUUUAUUGCAUGUCAAUUUACCAAGUCAGGAUGCUUCACCAUGAGAUCGGCGUACCAUGUGGCUUGGAGGAAAGAGAAUAUAGAUUGAGGGUCUGACUUAAUGUGGGAGAAGGAAGGAUGGGUCCACAUCUGGUUUGGAAGUUUUUCUGGGGAAGAUCUGUAUCCUCGAAAGUUCAUAUUUUCAAUUGAAGGGUUUUGCACGGCAUAGUUCCCUGGUGUUGCACGUUGGCGGAUCAACAUAUAAAACUCUAGUUGUAUAUAUAGUCUGUUGUACUGAUUGGGAGGAUCUCUAGCACAUGGUUUUUACUUGUGACAGAGCUAUGGAGGUGUGGGAGGAACUUGGUCUUAGGGACUAUACCGAAUCAGUUGUUGUUCAAGAGCUAUCUAGGGCAACGAUCCUUGAAGAGUUGGUAUGUGCUGAGCUCCCAGCAGGAACGGGCAUUCCAAUUGUAAUGGAAUUCAUACUAUCAUGGUGGCAUGAUGGUGCAUCUAGUGGGAGUUUUGGAAAAUCGCCCAUGAGGUGAAAACGCCCCCCUAUACAAUAUGUUUUAAGCAUCAAGGGGAUUGUGGCGAAUGUAUUAGCAACAUAGGUAAAGGAACCAACAAGACAAAUGAAGUGAUUGGACCGACUUCAGGAACUAUAAAACUGAAUGUUGAUGCUAGCUUCCAUCCAGAGUCUGGUGCAGUGGGAGCUUUGCUCUCGGACUCAAAUGAGAAGUUCAUUGCCGCAUCUUGUUCAUAUUAGGAGUUCUCCAUGGAUGCCUUGAUGGAGGCUUUUAUGUUGUUUGAGGAGCUAUGCUUGGUAGAUGAGUUGAGGAUUUUACUCGGUGGUGGUAGAAUAUGACUCAAUGGAGAUCGUGCAUGCCAUCCUAGAUCCUUUAGAGUGCCGAGCUUCAGGGUUAAUAGUGAUUGAUGAUUGCCCUACAUUGUUGAGUUCUUUUGGCAGGGCAAUGAUUGCACAUUGUGCCUGAGAGAGCAAUGUUGUUGCACGUUCACUAGCUCGAGCAAGUUAUAAAGAGAAAAUUUCAGAGGAAUGACGUGAACAUCCUCCGGACUUUCUAAUCCCAUCUCUUGUAACAAACAUGGAUAUUGUUUAAUUAAGGUUGACAUAGUUAAAAAGCGCAUGAUUUUAGCAAUCUAGAAAACUCAUUUUGGAAUUUACUUUUAAGAUCUAAGCCCAGGAAAAUUCUUAGCUAUGCUUUGGCUUGGCUAAUACAAUUGUGAUAGAUUGAGUGUAAUUUUCAGAGAAAGAAUCUUGUUAAAGGUGUGAUUUGAAGCAAGAACUUACUUGGUUAUAAUGGCGGACUCAGAGAUUGAGGUUAGCCAGGGAGAGGACGACGACAAUGCUUGACAGCUUCGCAGUCGCUAGUGAUGAGUAGGCGAGGUACCUUGCUCCAUUAAAUAACCCGACAAUAACCCUUGUUUGCCCCAAUCUUGGGCUGACCACUGCUUGACUGGUUAAACUUUGUACCAUUAUGUCUUUGGAAUGGAACCUGACCAAAUGGCUACAAUGCAAUACGAAGAAAAACUUGGUUAAAUUUUCCAAAUUUAUUGAAGUGUGUCAAUGUAUUUUACAAUAUAUGGUUAGAAACUAGACAACCUAAUUCUACACAAAAAUGAAUUUAUAGGAGCGGCUCCAAACGAGGCCGCAUAUAUCUUGUUGAAGCUUUAACACCCUCUGGAGUUGCUUAUACCAUAUUUGAUACUUGAGAUCGGGAGUUCGAUGAAAAAAGUUCAUAAGAAUGCUUCUAAUGGAAGACUACAGAAUUCUAUGAUUCUUCUAUUUUGAUACCAAAAUGAAGUAAGCUAAGUCAAAUAAUCAUUUGUGUUGAACCAGCAGGAGAGCUACAUGUCAAUUCAUUAUGAGAGGAAAAUGAUACAUCACCAUAGAAGGCGCGAACCAUACAACACCAAAGAGGCACAACCAAAAAGGAAGAAUCUAAACAACCUAAGGAUCAAGAUUCAUAAGCAAGAGAUGACCAAACCCAACCUAAGGUAGAGAAAAAGUAUGCCAUACGACACGAAAAGCAAUAAACGUCUGAUGCAAGAUCCUAAACACCAGUCAACUACAAUACGACCUAAACACAACAACCACGAUGGCCUACGAUGACCUACGACAACAACGACUGACGCACACAAGCACCACAAGGACUAAACAACAACCAACCAUAAGACAACACUUCUUGCAAAAUCCAAGGCCAUUCUAAUGCUACCAUAUCGGUCUUUACUAAAGCCGUAGAAGAGGGGCCGAGAAGGUGGACAUGAACCAACUAGAGGGGAGCAAGAGCACAAGAAAGCACCAUGAUGAAAACCAUUGCGACUGAUGACCUGAAUCUGGAAUUGCCGCACCAUGUGCGAAAGAUAUCGAACCGAAAUGACGUCCACACCAUCACAAACAAGAAGCCUUCGAGCACAAGUGACCAAUUACCAAAUCCCAAAUUCACCACCAGCGGGAGACAAGCUGACAAAUAAUGACCAAAUCGGCGGCGGAAUCAACGGGGUGGAAAACCAAACGACGAAAUCCCACUCACUACUGGUCGGACACAAUCCACUAGGAGGAAAAACCGCCAGAUCUGGAAGAACCUUCGCCAAAUCUGGUAGAACCCCCACCAGAUUUGACAGAACCUCCACCAAAUCUAGCAAGUAACGACCGAGACAAUGGGGUAGGGGAAGGGGCGAGGAAACAGAUGCACACCUGAAUCGACCUGAUACAACAACCGUUGCAUCUCGACAUGACCCCUGGAAAGCCAUCGAAGCAACACCAAGCAACCACACUCAGCUAGAACAUACGUGCCCAAACGACUGGAAGAAGCAACCCAUGGAAGAUGUCCCUCUGCUGCCGUCCUUGGUGGCCGCGUGGGCUUUAGCACCGACAACGCGGUGGUGAGAAGGGAGUGGUGGUGGCGAAGGCCUGGCGGCUAGGGUUUGGUUUGCUACUCCUCGCCCCAUGGGGAGCGACACAGGGUUCGGGGACGAAGGUGUCAAAUAAUUAUAGCC
rnacentral:lncRNA from 1 species